GUGAAUGGUAGAGAAGGCAGCAGCGAGCGAAGAGCGCUUCGUGCUGCCUCUCGCUUCAAGGCGGACUAAGCGGCAAGAACUCAGCGCACA
rnacentral:lncRNA from 1 species